CGUGGCAAAAAGUUUUACAUUCUUGCAGUUCUGGAACAGACCAAAAAUGAGUCGGGUACACUUAAAAAAAAUUGUAAUCAGCUGAUAGCUUUACCUUACAAUUUUUCACAAAUCGUUCUUUCAAUUGACUCAUUUAAAUUGCAUAAGUAAAUAAACACAUACAUAUGUUUUCAACACGUAUAUAUCUGAUCUUUUAUUUACAGGGCCCUGGAUGGGAGUAUGAAACCAAAUUGCCUGCAUGGGGAGCAUCAGAUUGGAAAGAGAUAAACUAGGCGGAUACAUAAAAUAAAACAUCUACAAAUUAAAACAUUUGUUUUUUAAUUCAUUACUUAUAUUACAAUUUAUAUUGUAUGAUAAAUAUCAAAACCCUAUACAAAUUUAAAUAAAUUCUGCAAAACAAGCAAAAAAUUAUAAAUGUAUAAAUUUAAACUUGAAACACGACGAUGACGUGGCUUGCAUGCGUUCAUGCAGUAAAACACCAACGAUGUUCAUUUCAAAAUUGAACUAUUCUUCAUUCGUGGAUAUUUCCUGUCUAUUAUCAAUCCUAUUAACUUGGACAAGCGUAGGUUAUUUGAUGUUAAGCAUUUGAUGACCACUAGACAGUGUUGCCAGCAUUGAGGAAUUUUCCCCAAUUGGGACGAAAAAUUCAAGUUGGGGACUUAAGGACUUAGCGGGGAUCUUUUUAGAAAAUUGCGGAAAUUGUGAGGAUUUUUUUUUAAAUAAAAAUUCUAACUACCUUACUUAUUUUGAUAUUUACAUUUGUCACACAUACGUAACGCAUCAAGAAAAUACAUUCCCCACUAACUAGAUAAAGUUGUUAUAAUUUAUACCAGAUAUAAGAAAUGGAUUUGCUAUCUUGUUAUCUCUUUCCAUACUCUGUUUUUGCCUAUAACACAUACACAUUGCGAUUUGGAAAAAGAGUCUCGGUUGCAGUGAUGUCAAAAAAGGGCCCUGGAUGGGAGUAUGAAACCAAAUUGCCUGCAUGGGGAGCAUCAGAUUGGAAAGAGAUAAACUAGGCGGAUACAUAAAAUAAAACAUCUACAAAUUAAAACAUUUGUUUUUUAAUUCAUUACUUAUAUUACAAUUUAUAUUGUAUGAUAAAUAUCAAAACCCUAUACAAAUUUAAAUAAAUUCUGCAAAACAAGCAAAAAAUUAUAAA